CUUACCAACAUAGAAUCUGAGAGUGCCUGACUAUACAAUCAUUAAUAUUUAGUUGGCAUUACUACCUAAAAGUUCUGAAGUUCUGUGAAUUGUUUAUUUAUGAGCAAUGCUCAUUUUUAAAUUUGAGAAUUAACAUCUAUUUUUGUGAAUCUCUGUACCAGAUGGACAGAAGUGGUAGGUACAGUUCUGUUUUUAGGCUGAGAACAGAUGUCGCACUGGGGGUGUGAAUCACUCUCCUCCACACAGUCCUGUCUCUGAACAUCCUGUGCAACUGUUCUGCUCUGGGGGAUUCCCCACUGUGGCUUUUCACUGGGACUUCGAGGAUAGACAUCUAUUUUAGCAUUUAAGGACUUCUGAUCCCCCAGGUACUAACAUUAGGCCUCUGAUUCAUUUUUACAUAUGUUUAUCUGCUCAAGGGCUGAGGAAUAAGGGGCUGGUUUCCUUAUAUGCAUUUUCUUUCCCCAAUUGUGAUAGGGGAAUUUGAAUUAAAGAGUCUCUGGUCUCAACCUGUUGAAAUCCUCCUUUCUUUUUUACCGUGG
rnacentral:lncRNA from 1 species